rnacentral:rRNA from 1 species
AGGCUUUGAUCCUGGCUCAGGAUGAACGCUAGCGGCAGGCCUAAUACAUGCAAGUCGAGCGGUAAGGUCCUUCGGGACCCUAGAGCGGCGCACGGGUGAGUAACGCGUACACGACCUACCUUUAACACUGGGAUAGCCCUGGGAAACUGGGAGUAAUACCGGAUGUGAUCAUAUUUAAUAGAGGGAUAUGAUUAAAGCUGAGGCGGUUAGAGAUGGGUGUGCGUCUGAUUAGCUAGUUGGCGAGGUAACGGCUCACCAAGGCGAUGAUCAGUAGGGGGCGUGAGAGCGUGGUCCCCCACACGGGUACUGAGACACGGACCCGACUCCUACGGGAGGCAGCAGUAAGGAAUAUUGGGCAAUGGACGGAAGUCUGACCCAGCCAUGCCGCGUGCAGGAAGAAGGCCCUAUGGGUUGUAAACUGCUUUUCUGAGGGAAGAAAGGUAUUUAUUUAUAGGUAUCUGACGGUACCUCAGGAAUAAGCACCGGGGUACCAUC